rnacentral:rRNA from 1 species
GUGGGGAAUCUUCCGCAAUGGACGAAAGUCUGACGGAGCAACGCCGCGUGAGUGACGAAGGUUUUCGGAUCGUAAAGCUCUGUUAUCGGGGAAGAACACUCUUCAUGUGAACAAUGUGGAGAGAUGACGGUACCUGAUGAGGAAGCCACGGCUAACUACGUGCCAGCAGCCGCGGUAAUACGUAGGUGGCGAGCGUUGUCCGGAAUUAUUGGGCGUAAAGCGCGCGCAGGCGGGAUAUUAAGUCUGCUCUAAAAGUGCGGGGCUCAACCCCGUAGAGGGGUAGAAACUAAUAUUCUUGAGUGCCGGAGAGGAAAGCGGAAUUCCCAGUGUAGCGGUGAAAUGCGUAGAUAUUGGGAGGAACACCAGUGGCGAAGGCGGCUUUCUGGACGGUGUCUGACGCUGAGGCGCGAAAGCCAGGGGAGCGAACGGGAUUAGAAACCCGUGUAGUCC